rnacentral:rRNA from 1 species
AUUGAACGCUGGCGGCAUGCUUUACACAUGCAAGUCGAACGGUAACAGGCCGCAAGGUGCUGACGAGUGGCGAACGGGUGAGUAAUGCAUCGGAACGUGCCCAGUCGUGGGGGAUAACGCAGCGAAGGCUGCGCUAAUACCGCAUACGAUCUAUGGAUGAAAGCGGGGGACCGUAAGGCCUCGCGCGAUUGGAGCGGCCGAUGUCAGAUUAGGUAGUUGGUGGGGUAAAGGCUCACCAAGCCAACGAUCUGUAGCUGGUCUGGGAGGACGACCAGCCACACUGGGACUGAGACACGGCCCAGACUCCUACGGGAGGCAGCAGUGGGGAAUUUUGGACAAUGGGCGCAAGCCUGAUCCAGCCAUUCCGCGUGCAGGAUGAAGGCCCUCGGGUUGUAAACUGCUUUUGUACAGAACGAAUAGGCUCUGGUUAAUACCUGGGGCUCAUGACGGUACUGUAAGAAUAAGCACCGGCUAACUACGUGCCAGCCGCCGCCGUAACAC